rnacentral:rRNA from 1 species
AUUGAACGCUGGCGGCAGGCCUAACACAUGCAAGUCGAACGGUAACAGGAAGAAGCUUGCUUCUUUGCUGACGAGUGGCGGACGGGUGAGUAAUGUCUGGGAAACUGCCUGAUGGAGGGGGAUAACUACUGGAAACGGUAGCUAAUACCGCAUAACGUCGCCCGACCAAAGAGGGGGACCUUCGGGCCUCUUGCCAUCGGAUGUGCCCAGAUGGGAUUAGCUAGUAGGUGGGGUAACGGCUCACCUAGGCGACGAUCCCUAGCUGGUCUGAGAGGAUGACCAGACACACUGGAACUGAGACACGGUCCAGACUCCGACGGGAGGCAGCAGUGGGGAAUAUUGCACAAUGGGGGCAAGCCUGAUGCAGCCAUGCCGCGUGUAUGAAGAAGGCCUUCGGGUUGUAAAGUACUUUCAGCGGGGAGGAAGGGAGUAAAGUUAAUACCGUUGCUCAUUGACGUUACCAGCAGAAGAAGCACCGGCUAACUCCGUG